GGAUGUAUGGCUCAGCGGUAGAGCAUCUGCUUGGCGUGCAAAAGGUCCCACGUUCAAUACCCGGGAUCUCCA
rnacentral:tRNA from 1 species